GGCAAAGUUAAUAAGGGCGCACGGUGGAUGCCUUGGCAUUAAGAGCCGAAGAAGGACGUGACUAACGACGAUAUUCUAGGGGGAGCAGUAAGUACGCAUUGAUCCCUAGGUCUCCGAAUGGGGAAACCCACUAUGUUAUGCAUAGUAUCCGUAAGUGAAUACAUAGCUUACGCGAAGGUAACGCAGAGAACUGAAACAUCUAAGUACCUGCAGGAAGAGAAAGUAAAAACGAUUUCCUAAGUAGCGGCGAGCGAACGGGAAACAGGCCAAACCAAGAAGCUUGCUUCUUGGGGUUGUAGGACUGCAACGUGGACUUAAAGUCUAUAGAAGAAUUACCUGGGAAGGUAAGCCAAAGAGAGUAAUAGCCUCGUAUUUGAAAUAGACUUUAUACCUAGCAGUAUCCUGAGUAGGGCUGGACACGCGAAAUCCAGUUUGAAUCCGGGAGGACCAUCUCCCAAGCCUAAAUACUCCUUAAUGACCGAUAGUGAACCAGUACCGUGAGGGAAAGGUGAAAAGAACCCCGGGAGGGGAGUGAAAUAGCACCUGAAACCGUGUGCCUACAAGAAGUUCGAGCCCGUCAAUGGGUGAGAGCGUGCCUUUUGUAGAAUGAACCGGCGAGUUACGUUAUGAUGCGAGGUUAAGCUGAAGAGGCGGAGCCGUAGCGAAAGCGAGUCUGAAUAGGGCGCUUUAGUAUCAUGAUGUAGACCCGAAACCUAGUGACCUAUCCAUGAGCAGGUUGAAGGUGCGGUAAGACGCACUGGAGGACCGAACCAGGACACGUUGAAAAGUGUUUGGAUGACUUGUGGAUAGCGGAGAAAUUCCAAACGAACUGGGAGAUAGCUGGUUCUCUCCGAAAUAGCUUUAGGGCUAGCGUCGCAAUUUAAGUGUAUUGGAGGUAGAGCACUGUUUGGAUGAGGGGCCCAUCUCGGGUUACCAAUUUCAGAUAAACUCCGAAUGCUAAUACACAUGUGCGGCAGUCAGACUGCGAGUGCUAAGAUCCGUAGUCGAAAGGGAAACAGCCCAGACCACCAGCUAAGGUCCCAAAAUAUAUGUUAAGUGGAAAAGGAUGUGGGGUUGCACAGACAACUAGGAUGUUAGCUCAGAAGCAGCUAUCAUUCAAAGAGUGCGUAAUAGCUCACUAGUCGAGUGACCCUGCGCCGAAAAUGUACCGGGGCUAAACAUAUUACCGAAGCUGUGGAUUUAAUAUUAAUUAAAUGGUAGGAGAGCGUUGUAAUCAGCGAUGAAGGUAUACCGUGAGGGGUGCUGGAGCGAUUACAAGUGAGAAUGCCGGUAUGAGUAGCGCAAGAUAAGUGAGAAUCUUAUCCACCGUAAGACUAAGGUUUCCAGGGGAAGGCUCGUCCGCCCUGGGUUAGUCGGGACCUAAGGCGAGGCCGAAAGGCGUAGUCGAUGGACAACAGGUUGAUAUUCCUGUACUAGUAUUGUUAGUGAUGGAGGGACGCAGUAGGCUAAAGGGAGCCAGUUAAUGGAUUCUGGUCUAAGCAGUGAGGUGUGGAAUGUGUCAAAUGCAUUUUCCUUUAACAUUGAGCUGUGAUGGGGAAGCAACUACGGUUGCGAAGCCCUUGAUGUCACACUGCCAAGAAAAUCUUCUAGCGUUUAAUUCAAUACUACCCGUACCGCAAACCGACACAGGUAGUCGAGGCGAGUAGCCUCAGGUGAUCGAGAGAACUCUCGUUAAGGAACUCGGCAAAAUGACCCCGUAACUUCGGGAGAAGGGGUGCUGUAGAAAUACAGCCGCAGUGAAAAGAUCCGAGCAACUGUUUAUCAAAAACACAGCUCUCUGCUAAACCGCAAGGUGAUGUAUAGGGGGUGACGCCUGCCCGGUGCUGGAAGGUUAAGAGGAGGGGUUAGACAUUAGUCGAAGCUCUGAAUUGAAGCCCCAGUAAACGGCGGCCGUAACUAUAACGGUCCUAAGGUAGCGAAAUUCCUUGUCGGGUAAGUUCCGACCCGCACGAAAGGCGUAAUGAUUUGGAUACUGUCUCAACGAGAGACUCGGUGAAAUUUUAGUACCUGUGAAGAUGCAGGUUACCCGCGACAGGACGGAAAGACCCCAUGGAGCUUUACUGCAGAUUGAUAUUGAGUACCUGUGAAGCAUGUACAGGAUAGGUAGGAGACUUUGACCUUGGGACGCUAGUUUCAAGUGAGUCGCUGUUGGGAUACUACCCUUGCUUCAUGGUUGCUCUAACCCACACGCAUAAUCGGCGUGGGAGACAGUGUCUGUCGGGCAGUUUGACUGGGGCGGUCGCCUCCUAAAGAGUAACGGAGGCGCCCAAAGGUUCCCUCAACAUGGUUGGAAAUCAUGUGUAGAGUGUAAAGGUAUAAGGGAGCUUGACUGCGAGAGCUACAACUCGAGCAGGUAGGAAACUAGGGCUUAGUGAUCCGGUGGUACCGCAUGGAAGGGCCAUCGCUCAACGGAUAAAAGCUACCCUGGGGAUAACAGGCUUAUCUCCCCCAAGAGUUCACAUCGACGGGGAGGUUUGGCACCUCGAUGUCGGCUCGUCGCAUCCUGGGGCUGUAGUCGGUCCCAAGGGUUGGGCUGUUCGCCCAUUAAAGCGGCACGCGAGCUGGGUUCAGAACGUCGUGAGACAGUUCGGUCCCUAUCCGUCGCGGGCGUAGGAAAUUUGAGAGGAUCUGCCCUUAGUACGAGAGGACCGGGGUGGACUUACCUCUGGUGUACCAGUUGUUCCGCCAGGAGCACCGCUGGGUAGCUAUGUAGGGAAGGGAUAAGCGCUGAAAGCAUCUAAGUGCGAAGCCCACCUCAAGAUGAGAUUUCCCAUUCUUUAUGAAUUAAGAGCCCUGAGAGAUGAUCAGGUUGAUAGGCUGGAAGUGGAAGUCCUGCGAGGGAUGGAGCGGACCAGUACUAAUAGCUCGAGGACUUUACCAA
rfam:Lactococcus garvieae Lg2 DNA, complete genome.